UCCGGAAUUAAAAAUUUUUGUGUGCCCAACACACACAAAAUAAUAAGAGGGCCUUUUGGGGGGCUCACCUAAAGAGAGGGAUCCCGCGGGGCCCUUUAAUUUAGUUGGGGGGUAAAAAGCCCUCCCCAAGCACAAUGGUGCUAUGCCCGAGUUGGAGAGCCUGUUUGGCCCCCAUUGGGGACUGAGACCCGGGCCCAAAAUUCCUACCGGGAGGCUGCCAGUAGGGAAUCUUUCCACAAUGGGCCGAAAGCCUGAUGGAGCAACCCCGCGUGUGUGAUGAAGGCUUUCGGGUCGUAAAGCACUGUUGUAUGGGAAGAACAGCUAGAAUAGGAAAUGAUUUUAGUUUGACGGUACCAUACCAGAAAGGGACGGCUAAAUACGUGCCAGCAGCCGCGGUAAUACGUAUGUCCCGAGCGUUAUCCGGAUUUAUUGGGCGUAAAGCGAGCGCAGACGGUUUAUUAAGUCUGAUGUGAAAGCCCGGAGCUCAACUCCGGAAUGGCAUUGGAAACUGGUUAACUUGAGUGCAGUAGAGGUAAGUGGAACUCCAUGUGUAGCGGUGGAAUGCGUAGAUAUAUGGAAGAACACCAGUGGCGAAGGCGGCUUACUGGACUGCAACUGACGUUGAGGCUCGAAAGUGUGGGUAGCAAACAGGAUUAGAUACCCUGGUAGUCCACACCGUAAACGAUGAACACUAGGUGUUAGGAGGUUUCCGCCUCUUAGUGCCGAAGCUAACGCAUUAAGUGUUCCGCCUGGGGAGUACGACCGCAAGGUUGAAACUCAAAGGAAUUGACGGGGACCCGCACAAGCGGUGGAGCAUGUGGUUUAAUUCGAAGCAACGCGAAGAACCUUACCAGGUCUUGACAUCCUUUGAAGCUUUUAGAGAUAGAAGUGUUCUCUUCGGAGACAAAGUGACAGGUGGUGCAUGGUCGUCGUCAGCUCGUGUCGUGAGAUGUUGGGUUAAGUCCCGCAACGAGCGCAACCCUUAUUGUUAGUUGCCAGCAUUCAGAUGGGCACUCUAGCGAGACUGCCGGUGACAAACCGGAGGAAGGCGGGGACGACGUCAGAUCAUCAUGCCCCUUAUGACCUGGGCUACACACGUGCUACAAUGGCGUAUACAACGAGUUGCCAGCCCGCGAGGGUGAGCUAAUCUCUUAAAGUACGUCUCAGUUCGGAUUGUAGUCUGCAACUCGACUACAUGAAGUCGGAAUCGCUAGUAAUCGCGGAUCAGCACGCCGCGGUGAAUACGUUCCCGGGUCUUGUACACACCGCCCGUCACACCAUGGGAGUUUGUAAUGCCCAAAGCCGGUGGCCUAACCUUUAGGAAGGAGCCGUCUAAGCAGACAGAUUUUG
rnacentral:rRNA from 1 species